GGACCCGCACAAGUAGUGGAGCAUGUGGUUUAAUUCGAAGAUACGCGCAGAACCUUACCAACACUUGACAUGUUCGUCGCGACUUUAAGAGAUUAAAGUUUUCGGUUCGGCCGGACGAAACACAGGUGCUGCAUGGCUGUCGUCAGCUCGUGUCGUGAGAUGUUGGGUUAAGUCCCGCAACGAGCGCAACCCUCACUUUUAGUUGCCAUCAUUUAGUUGGGCACUCUGAAAGAACUGCCAGUGAUAAGCUGGAGGAAGGUGGGGAUGACGUCAAGUCCUCAUGGCCCUUACGUGUUGGGCUACACACGUGCUACAAUGGCAUUUACAACAGGAAGCAAAACAGCGAUGUUAAGCAAAUCCUUAAAAGAUACCUCAGUUCGGAUUGCACUCUGCAACUCGAGUGCAUGAAGCUGGAAUUACUAGUAAUCGU
rnacentral:rRNA from 1 species